UACCAGCUCUCCGAGUCGUAGGGACGAUUAUUGGGCUUAAAGCGUCCGUAGCUGGCUUAGCAAGUCUCCUGUUAAAUUCAGCGACCUAAUCGUUGAGCCGCGGGAGAUACUACUAGGCUAGGAGGCGGGAGAGGUCGACGGUACUUUCGGGGUAGGGGUGAAAUCCUAUAAUCCCGGGAGGACCACCAGUGGCGAAGGCUGUCGACUAGAACGCGCUCGACGGUGAGGGACGAAAGCUGGGGGAGCGAACCGGAUUAGAUACCCGGGUAGUCCCAGCUGUAAACUAUGCGGGCUAGGUGUUGGGGUGGCUACGGGCCACUUCAGUGCCGCAGGAAAGCCAUUAAGCCCGACCGCCUGGGGAGUACGGCCGCAAGGCUGAAACUUAAAGGAAUUGCGGGGGAGCACCACAAGGCGUGAAGCUUGCGGUUC
rnacentral:rRNA from 1 species